UACAGAGGUCCCAAGCGUUGUUCGGAUUCACUGGGCGUAAAGGGUGCGUAGGCGGUUAGGUAAGUCCGAUGUGAAAUCUCAGAGCUUAACUCUGAAACUGCAUUGGAUACUAUUUAGCUAGAGGAUUGGAGGGGGGACUGGAAUUCUCGGUGUAGCAGUGAAAUGCGUAGAGAUCGAGAGGAACACCGGUGGCGAAAGCGAGUCCCUGGACAAUUCCUGACGCUGAGGCACGAAAGCUAGGGGAGCAAACAGG
rnacentral:rRNA from 1 species